UGAGUGAAGAAGGCCUGCGGGUUGUAAAGCCCUUUCGGUGGGGAAGAAAAUCCUCGAGCUAAUACCUCGGGGUCUUGACGUAUCCCAUACAAGAAGCACCGGCUAACUCUGUGCCAGCAGCCGCGGUAAUACAGAGGGUGCGAGCGUUAAUCGGAAUUACUGGGCGUAAAGCGCGCGUAAGCGGCUUUGCAAGUCGGGUGUGAAAUCCCCAGGCUUAACCUGGGAACUGCAUUCGAGACUGCAUUGCUAGAGUAUGGGAGAGGGAAGUGGAAUUUCCGGUGUAGCGGUGAAAUGCGUAAAUAUCGGAAGGAACAUCAGUGGCGAAAGCGACUUCCUGGACCAAUACUGACGCUCAUGUGCGAAAGCGUGGGGAGCAAACAGGAUUAGAUACCCUGGUAGA
rnacentral:rRNA from 1 species